GACGAACGCUGGCGGCGUGCCUAAUACAUGCAAGUAGAACGCUGAAGGAGGAGCUUGCUUCUCCGGAUGAGUUGCGAACGGGUGAGUAACGCGUAGGUAACCUGCCUGGUAGCGGGGGAUAACUAUGGGAACCGUUGGCAAUUCCGCAUAAAAAUAGAUGGUUCAAGAAAUUUUUUUUAAAAGUUCAAUUGGAUCAAUAACAGGAUGACCUUGGUUGUUUUAGCUAGUUUGUGGGGUAACGGGUCACCAAGGCGACGAGACAUAGCCGACCUGAGGGGGUGAUCGGCCACACUGGGACUGAGACACGGCCCAGACUCCUACGGGAGGCAGCAGUAGGGAAUCUUCGCCAAUGGACGGAAGUCUGACCGAGCAACGCCGCGUGAGUGAAGAAGGUUUUCGGAUCGUAAAGCUCUGUUGUAAGAGAAGAACGAGUGUGAGAGUGGAAAGUUCACACUGUGACGGUAUCUUACCAGAAAGGGACGGCUAACUACGUG
rnacentral:rRNA from 1 species